rnacentral:rRNA from 1 species
UACAGAGGUCUCAAGCGUUGUUCGGAUUCAUUGGGCGUAAAGGGUGCGUAGGCGGCGCGGUAAGUCGGGUGUGAAAUCUCGGAGCUUAACUCCGAAACUGCAUUCGAUACUGCCGUGCUUGAGGACUGGAGAGGAGACUGGAAUUUACGGUGUAGCGGUGAAAUGCUUAGAUAUGACAUAGAAUACCCAUUGCGAAGGCAGCUAACUACGCGAUAAUUGACGCUGAUGCACGAAAGCGUGGGGAUCAAACAGG